rnacentral:lncRNA from 1 species
UUGAUCCAAUGAUUUUAUUUUCCCCCUUUUACAUUCACAGAUUAAAGAAAAGAUGGAGAACAGAUGCUUUUAUCCAGUUAGUGGCCUGCAUAGCUCAGUAAUAUUUUUGGAAUAAAUGCAUGGAAUGUUGGACUCACCUAUUUCUGCUGUGACUGCAAAAUCUAAUCUCCAAACUUCAGGACCCUACCUUUCAGAGAGGCGUGCUUCUGGAAAACCCUAGAGGGCGCUGUUUUCUUGCUUGUUACCACUUUUGCCUUGGCCUCUCAAUGGGAAAAUGGAAAGGAAAAAAAGAGGAGUGAAGUAAAUAGAUCUUAAAUGAAACACAAACUGUCCAAGCCUGAGGGGAAUGAACGUAUCAAGUCUAAGUUCCUCUUUGCCAGAUGUGGGAAGCAUGACUCACCCUGGACUGACUCACAGCAAGUAUGACUCCAUGAAACACUCGCAGAGUUGGGGACUCGAGGGGCUCAGCCUCCACGAUACUGGCCAUCAAGAAAACACUGGCCUUCUGGGCAGCAAGAUGGUUCACUUCUAUAUUUGGGGAUCUCUUAUGGAAAUUUACUGACUGCCCUUGGGUCUAUGAUCCCUGUUUCUAAAACCAGACACCUGAAUCAAAGCACUAAACCAG